GUAGGUGGCAAGCGUUGUCCGGAAUUAUUGGGCGUAAAGCGCGCGCAGGGCGGUCCUUUAAGUCUGAUGUGAAAGCCCACGGCUCAACCGUGGAGGGUCAUUGGAAACUGGGGGACUUGAGUACAGAAGAGGAAAGCGGAAUUCCAAGUGUAGCGGUGAAAUGCGUAGAGAUUUGGAGGAACACCAGUGGCGAAGGCGGCUUUCUGGUCUGUAACUGACGCUGAGGCGCGAAAGCGUGGGGAGCAAACAGGAUUAGAUACCCUGGUAGUCCACGCCGUAAACGAUGAGUGCUAAGUGUUAGGGGGUUUCCGCCCCUUAGUGCUGCAGCUAACGCAUUAAGCACUCCGCCAGGGGAGUACGGCCGCAAGGCUG
rnacentral:rRNA from 1 species